rfam:Rasamsonia emersonii CBS 393.64 ctg1118621760547, whole genome shotgun sequence.
GGGGUCGUGGUUUUAGUGGUAUAAUGCAUCCUUAGCAUGGAUGAGGUCCCGGGUUCGAUUCCCGGCGACUCCA